rnacentral:rRNA from 1 species
AACCUUUACACUGCACGACAGUGCGAUAGGGGGACUCCGAGUGUGAGGGCAUAUAGCCCUCGCUUUUCUGUACCGUAAGGUGGUACAGGAACAAGGACUGGGCAAGACCGGUGCCAGCCGCCGCGGUAAUACCGGCAGUCCGAGUGAUGGCCGAUAUUAUUGGGCCUAAAGCGUCCGUAGCCUGCUGUGUAAGUCCAUUGGGAAAUCGACCAGCUCAACUGGUCGGCGUCCGGUGGAAACUACACAGCUUGGGGCCGAGAGACUCAACGGGUACGUCCGGGGUAGGAGUGAAAUCCUGUAAUCCUGGACGGACCACCAAUGGGGAAACCACGUUGAGAGACCGGACCCGACAGUGAGGGACGAAAGCCAGGGUCUCGAACCGGAUUAGAUACCCGGGUAGUCCUGGCUGUAAACAAUGCUCGCUAGGUAUGUCACGCGCCAUGAGCACGUGAUGUGCCGUAGUGAAGACGAUAAGCGAGCCGCCUGGGAAGUACGUCCGCAAGGAUGAAACUUAA